GGCCAGGUAGCUCAGUCGGUACGAGCGUCCGCCUGAAAAGCGGAAGGUCGGCGGUUCGAUCCCGCCCCUGGCCA
rfam:Mycobacterium avium subsp. paratuberculosis str. k10, complete genome.